AGAGAGACACAGUGUUUCCUUCCCCAUCCCAACCAAGGUGAACAUAUGUCCUCUAAUUUCCUAUGGCCUGUGUCAGGAAGAGUAUUUAUGGCUAAUUUAAAAGCAUACAGAAAGUUAAAUGCAGGGACCACUUUUUUUCCCUUGAGUUUGCAUAGGAAAAUAAUUAAAGGCAAACACUGUAUAUUGUAAGGAAUAUAUUGGUCUGGCAUAUGGCAUUCUUUUGUUGCAGAUUACAGACCCAGUGGCCUGAUCCUGCUAUCACUGAAAUGAAUGGCACAUUUCCUAUUGAUUUCAGGGAAAGAAAGAGCAGACUACAACCCAACAUGAGACAGGUGGAGGGAGGAGAUAGAAGUCUCAAAACUACAGGCCUAUGUAAAUUCUGCAGCAUCAGAAAGAGCGUGGCACAGCCCCUGUUCUGGGACAGAAGGACGGACAUCUAAGGGACGUGGGCAUUUCUUCUCAGCUUAGCCAUGAUCCAUAUGAUGGAGCAAUGUAGCCAAGCUGGGGGCUGACCGAGGUUUGCAUCACUGCCCUGACCCAGAUUGCAUCUGCAGUCAUCUGGAACUGACUACACGCCUGAACUGAUGAAAGAGGCUGUGGAAAUAUGGAUCUCUGGGGCCUUGGCAAGAUGCUUAGGCCAUAUUCACCUGUCCUCUGGAAGACAAAAGAGUGAGGAUCAGCAGUGUCAUUUAUUCUGCAAAAACUGAACAGAUGAGAACUGCCGUGACAGCCAAUAGACGAAAUUAAAAAUUAAGGAAAGGCUGGUAUGGAACAAGAGAAAAAUUAUCCCAGCAUUUAACAAUGUUUGGAGGGUGUUAUGUCAACUGCACACUUGGUGAGGCCUAUAAGGAUUUUCCUUGUGUAAUACCUGCAGGAGUUAGGCCUAGCAUAUCAAACUAUUCUAAAAGUGAUGUCCGGUAAGCAAUAGGUGGGCUCUCCUGGGAAAAAUGCAGGAAGAAAACUUGGUGAGAGCUGGAUCUUCGACAGUGUCACCUGUCAUGAGGGAUUGACAAAAGAAAAGAAAAAAAAAAGAAAGGUGAACUAAUUCACCAUGGGGAUGGAAGGAUGGAUGCUUCCUGUUUUUUUCAAUUGCAAAGUGUAUGAUAGUUUCAUGCCUUUAAUUGACAUCAGUGCAGUGUUGUUGAAUCCAAUGAAAUUUGAAUCCCACUAUGAAUUUGUUUUCCACAAGUAGAUUAUGAACAGAAGCAUUUGAUUUUUAUCAAUUAUGUAUUUUUGAGUGAAAAGCUAUUUUGUGUAUAUGUAUUUAACAGCAGGAAAUGUAGCAAAUGUUUAUUUUUAUUAAACUAAUAAAAGGGAUAAACCUA